rnacentral:lncRNA from 1 species
CCACCCCCCGCCCUGCACACACAACAUGGCAGCAGGGGGAAGGAGGGAGGCAAGCUAGAGAGUGAGAGCGUGAGUGAGAGGGAGAAAUAGAGAGAGAGGCUGCCGCGGCUGACAGGGAAUACUGGUGCCAUUUUCACAUCGCGGGAAGGAUUCAUUCCUGCUCCGCUCGGCUCCUUUGUGGAAGAAGGGAACGAGGGAAGAAGGGAACGAGGGAAGGAGGAAAAAGAGGAGAAGAAAGGAGGCUGACAACUAUAAAACAGAUAUCAGCAAAUCCCGGGAGGAACCACUGGUGCAGCCAAUGAUGAACAUAUACACAAGAACUCUGAUGGGGGACCGGAGGAGGAGCUUCAAGGCGGCCUGGUACCAUAUCCACCCCUGGCUUGAAUAUUCCAAAAAAUCAGACUCUGUGUUUUGUUACGCCUGCAGGCAUUUCAGCCCUCCCAAAGUCUCAGAGACUGUAUUUGAUUCACAAUUGGGUUUUAACAACUGGAAGAAGGCAACUUACAAAGAGUGGGGAUUUGCAGUUCAUGCCAGGUCUGAGCGGCACAAACAAGCAAUGAUUACAUGGAGAGAAUAUCAGAAAGCUGUAAAAAGUAAUGCAACACUGGUAAAUGCCCUAAACAAGGAACACAACAAACAGGUUCAAGAAAAUCGGGACUAUAUUAAAACAAUAGAAGUACUACUACUUACAGCCACACAAAACAUUGCACAAAGAGGACACAAUGAGUCUGCAGAGUCAGAUAAUAAAGGUAACUUCAUGGCAAUCCUAGAAACAAUAGCUAAGCAUGACACAACUGUGAAAAAAAGGUUGACUUCCAUUCAUAAUGCAAAAUGUACAAGCAAAGGGAUUCAGAAUGAGGUUCUGAGUUGUUUGGCAGACAUGGUUCCAACAAAAAUGAUAUAAGAAGUGAAAGACAGUGAGGUCUUUAGCAUAAUGGCAGACAAAACAAAAGAUGUAAAAAAUAAAGGAGCAGAUAUCUCUGGUACUACUUCAGAGGAGCUGUCCAUGAGAGCUUUCUCCACUUUGAAUCGGCUGAUCGACUAGAUGCAGCAGGGCUUACUGACAAAAUCAUACACAUAUUAGAAAGUCAUGGUCUUGAAUACAAAAACAACCUAGUAGGCCAAGCAUAUGACGGUGCUUCCGUUAUGAGUGGCAAGCAUUCAGGCGUCCAGGCAGGCAUUAAAGAACAAGCAAAGCAUGCCUUUUACAUCCACUGCAGUGCACACUGUCUAAACUUAGUUUUAGUGGAUACAGUCAAAGCUGUCCCUGAGGUAGGACAGUUCUUCUCCUUACUAGAAAGACUUUACGUCUUCACAUCUGGGUCAUAUGUGCAUCAAAAAUGGCUUAGCAUACAAAAAGAGAUGUACCCAGGUGCACCUAGAGAGCUUCAGAGACUAAGUGACACUCGCU